rnacentral:pre_miRNA from 1 species
CAACUCUUAUGCUACACCGUUGGAUCAAGAAAUGGAUGUCCGAGAUUCGUCCACGUCACCCUGAGUUAAAAUUUAACUCGCAGAUUCACUCGUGAGUUAAAAUUUAACGAGAGUUAAAUUUUAACUCAUGGUGACGUGGACGAAUCUUGGACGUCCAUUUCUCGAUCGAACGGUGUAGGAUGAAAGUUG